rnacentral:rRNA from 1 species
AUUGAACGCUGGCGGCAGGCCUAACACAUGCAAGUCGAACGGUAGCAGGAAACAGCUUGCUGUUUCGCUGACGAGUGGCGGACGGGUGAGUAAUGUCUGGGAAACUGCCUGAUGGAGGGGGAUAACUACUGGAAACGGUAGCUAAUACCGCAUAACGUCGCAAGACCAAAGAGGGGGACCUUCGGGCCUCUUGCCAUCGGAUGUGCCCAGAUGGGAUUAGCUAGUAGGUGGGGUAACGGCUCACCUAGGCGACGAUCCCUAGCUGGUCUGAGAGGAUGACCAGCCACACUGGAACUGAGACACGGUCCAGACUCCUACGGGAGGCAGCAGUGGGGAAUAUUGCACAAUGGGCGCAAGCCUGAUGCAGCCAUGCCGCGUGUAUGAAGAAGGCCUUCGGGUUGUAAAGUACUUUCAGCGGGGAGGAAGGGAGUAAAGUUAAUACCUUGACUCAUUGACGUUACCCGCAGAAGAAGCACCGGCUAACUCCGUG